GGGAGUAUAGUUAAGCGGUUAUAACUCUUGGCUCUUACCCAUGAAUCCCAGGUUCGAUCCCUGGUGCUCCCACUA
rnacentral:tRNA from 1 species